rnacentral:rRNA from 1 species
UACGUAGGGGGCGAGCGUUGUCCGGAAUCAUUGGGCGUAAAGCGCGUGUAGGCGGCCCGGUAAGUCCGCUGUGAAAGUCCAGGGCUCAACCCUGGGAUGCCGGUGGAUACUGUCGGGCUAGAGUCCGGAAGAGGCGAGUGGAAUUCCCGGUGUAGCGGUGAAAUGCGCAGAUAUCGGGAGGAACACCAAUGGCGAAGGCAGCUCGCUGGGACGGUACUGACGCUGAGACGCGAAAGCGUGGGGAGCAAACAGG